CUCGGAGACACGGAAGUGUCAGUUAGUUACAAAGUUUUCUGUCUGUAGCACGAUAUGCCGCUUAACAUAUCAGCCAGUUGACUUAAUAGUUUCUGACAGAGUUGUUUCCAGCUUUAGGUUUACAUGUGUUGUCUUCAUCUUCCUGUCAUGGCGAUAACUCUGUGUGUUGUUUUGAUAUUUGUAGCUGCCAUUCACAGAUGUGAGGGGGACCUGAGCUUUGCCUCCUACUAUGGGGACCACAUGGUGCUGCAGAAGUCUCCAGAGAGAGCUGUGCUGUGGGGCUAUGGCUGUGAUGGAGCACAGGUGACCCUCAUCCUGUCAGGACCAACAAAACAGAAAACCUCACCAGUCAAUGUGACAAAUGGAAUCUGGCGAGUCACCCUCGACCCUGUUGAAGCUGGUGGUCCCUACAAUGUGACAGCAGUCACCAAGGACAGCAGUGCCACUCUGACAGAUGUGCUGUUUGGAGAUAUUUGGCUGUGUGGGGGGCAGAGCAACAUGUGGUUUAACAUGUCUAUGGUUUUCAAUGCAUCAGAGGAGCUGAAACUCUCAGAGAAGUAUCCUGAUGUGAGGUUUUUUAUGGCGGCUUUGAACCAGAGUAAAACUGAGCUGCUUGAUUUGACUGACGUGGAAAUUCCCUGGUCUGUGGCCCCAACAAAUCUGGAAGGUUUCUCUGCAGUCUGCUGGCUCUAUGGACGUUACUUGUACGACACGCUUAAGUACCCCAUAGGACUGGUGGAGUCGUGCUGGGGAGGCACACCUGUCGAAGUCUGGUCAUCUGCAAGAGCGCUGCAGCAGUGUGGACUAGAGAAUGCCGGUCCUAAAAAUAAUUCUGUCUUGUGGAAUUCAAUGAUCCACCCGCUGCUCAACAUGACCAUCAAAGGAGCCAUCUGGUACCAAGGUGAGGCAAACACGUACUAUCAUAAAGACAAGUACGCCUGCACCUUCCCUGCUAUGAUUGAUGACUGGAGGAUGUCGUUUCACAAGGGCUCAGGGGGACAAACGGCGAAAGACUUCCCUUUUGGAUUUGUCCAGCUGUCCACAGACAUUAAAAACUCCACCAGUGAAUCCUUUCCAAAUGUCCGCUGGCACCAAACGGCAAACUUCGGCUAUGUCCCGAAUGAACGGAUGCAGAAUACCUUCAUGGCCGUGGCUUUGGAUUUACCAGAUCCAGAUUCACCCCUUGGCCCGAUCCAUCCUAGAGACAAGCAGGAUGUAGCCUACAGACUGACACUGGGAGCAAGGGCAGUGGCUUAUAAUGAGAAGGGCGUGGCCUUCCAAGGACCUUUCCCCAAACAAAUUCGGGAUAACGGAACGCAUGUCAUCGUUAACUACGACCAGAAGAUCUCUGUCAACAAGUCUGAUCACAUCUUUGAGAUCUGUUGCACAGAGACUCAAGUUUCAUGUGGGUCUAAGUCUCACUGGGUUCCGGCUCCCAUCGUGUGGAGUAAUAAGACCUCUGUCGAGUUGUCUGCCAAGUUUUGUGAGCCUUCUCAAGAAGUGGGUGCCCUCCGUUACGCAUGGAGAGACUGGCCCUGCGACUUCAAAGCCUGUCCAAUCUACAGCGCCAAUAAGAUUUUGCCUGCGCCUCCUUUUAUUUUCAACCGCUAUUCACCCUAAGGAAAGGAGAGAAGGAAACUGUAAGAUGACAAAGUGAUGUAGUGAUAAAGUGCCUUUUUGUUUCUUUAGGUCAAAGUUGGCUUAUUUGUGGCCAGAUUUGAAAAGCCAGAUCAAGAUUAUCAGUGAUGAGAUGAAAAGUGAUAAGGUGAGAACAAAAUGACACAGACAGUGGAUUGUUACUGUGAGAAGUUGAAUUUAGCAGAUUUUUGUUGUUGUUUUUUUUACUGAUAAUUAAGGCACUUACAAAGCACUUUGGUAUACAAUCUUAAAGAGCAUGUUUUUUGUUUUUUUUUACUUGAUUGUCAAGUCUUUUUUUCUCUUUACAAUCAGUAUGGGUGAGUUAUAGGUAGAGGGGGGCAGUGCCAGAUCCUAUGAAUCGUCAAGCAGUAAAUACCGCCUACAAUUCAUGGCAUCUGGAUACCAAACUUAUCUCAACAUUUAUUUUACCUUCUUUUUUACCACAGUAGUCAGGUUUUGUACAGCAUCCAGUGUGUCUCAUCAGAAUGGAGAAUACCAUUAGACUAAGGCUGCUAUGUCUUAGGUUGUAAUGUCUGGCAGUUUUAGUAGUUAGUCUGGCUGGAGACUCACCUUCCAUUUUAUAGAUUUAUUGAAGCUUAUAAACGCUUGUAGCAGAUGGUUAUAUAUUAUUUUGGUUUCAUCGUUUAUCCUGUUUGAAGUGUAUGCUGGUACAACCACUGCCAAUAAUUGCUGUAAAUAGAAAAGCAUGACAAACGUUGUAUUUGAACAAAACUCUGGAUUUUUUUUAAGUUUACAACAGAAAUGAAUCUUUAUGAUUUUACAAUUUGAACAAAUAAAUGACAGCUCAGCGACUUUUGGUGGGUGUUGUGUUACUUUCAAACCUGAUGCUUUUGCUUAAGAGUAAAAUGGAUGGAUUCACAAUAAAAUCAUUGAUUUAUCAAACGUGGUCUGUUGUUUGAAUUGGGGGAAAAAAUCUGUAAUGUGUUGGUAUCAUACUUUAAGUUGCAGCUCUAACAGUUCAUACCAAUGCAACAGUGUGCUAUGUACCAAAGUGAUGGUGUAUGGGAAAGAAUAAACCUUUUUAGUAAACUACUUUACUUCAACUGUGGCUCAGUUUCUAAAAUUCAGCACAUUUUUAUCCACACAAAAAUUCAUAUGUCAGUACAGAGGUGAUGGGUUUAUGGUUACUAUUGGCACCUAAGUGCAAAGCUAACUCACCAGCAACAUCCAGUAUAUUAGCAUGCUGGCACACAUCCCCAACACUGAUUGAGACUUACAAGAUUAUGACAUACAAUAAAUAGCAUCGUUUGAGUUACUGUAUGCCGCUGUUUACUGAAUCACUAACUCAGGAAGGAGUAUAAAAGAAAACCUUGUC